rnacentral:sRNA from 1 species
GGUCAGCAAUUUAAUCUGUUCGUGGUCCAUUUCAUUUUCGGCUUUGCGAUUUGUCCUGCGAAUUUUUUCACGCAUAAUUAAA